GUCAGCUAAAGGCAACUGAUUUGAAAAGAUCAGGCGCAAAACUACCGACCUAAAGAAAAACAACUAUGUUUAUAUGGUUUUAUUUCUAUGGCAGCGGAGUUACCUGA
rnacentral:ncRNA from 1 species